rnacentral:rRNA from 1 species
AUGGGGAGGCCGGGGUACCUGACGCUGCCCAUCUUGGCGGUGCUCGCCGCGAUCGGCUACGUCUACUACACCACGGUCUUCGUCGCCGUCGCCGGCUGGCUCGGCCUCGCCACGGCCGCCGGGGUCGCCAACGCCGCCGCCUUCACGGCCCUCGCCGCCGCCUGCCUCGCCACCUACGCCGCCGCCGUCUCCCGGGACCCCGGCCGGGUGCCGCCCGCCUUCCUGCCCGACGUCGAGGGCGCCGAGACCCCCGUCCACGAGGUCAAGCGCAAGGGUGGUGAUUUGAGAUAUUGCCAGAAAUGUGGCCACUAUAAGCCCCCACGCGCACACCAUUGCCGUGUGUGCAAGAGAUGUGUUCUGAAAAUGGACCAUCACUGUAUUUGGAUUAAUAACUGUGUUGGGCACGAAAACUACAAGAUAUUCUUGGUCUUUGUAUUGUAUGCUGUAAUUGCAAGCCUCUAUUCAAUGAUUCUAAUUGUAGGGAGCGUCAUUCACAGUGCUCCGAAAGAUGAACAGUUAAGCAGUGAUUCUUCUAGAACAUUGAUUAUUAUUUGUGGGAUCAUUCUUUGUCCAUUAACUCUGGCGCUGUCGGUGCUCUUGGGCUGGCAUAUCCACCUCAUAUUACAGAAUAAAACUACAAUUGAGUACCAUGAAGGAGUUAGAGCAAUGUGGUUGGCAGAAAAGGGUGGAGACCUUUAUCAUCAUCCAUAUGACCUUGGUGUCUAUGAGAAUCUUAUUUCGGUGCUUGGGCGUAGCAUAUUCUGCUGGCUCUGCCCAGUAUCAGUCAAUACAGGCAGUGGCCUACGGUUCCGUGCAUCCUAUGAUAUUUUACCAUCUACACCGCCAUGUGAUUUACAAAAGAUAGCAUUACAUUCACAUUGA